AGCUUGCUACUUUGCUGACGAGCGGCGGACGGGUGAGUAAUGCUUGGGAACAUGCCUUGAGGUGGGGGACAACAGUUGGAAACGACUGCUAAUACCGCAUAAUGUCUACGGACCAAAGGGGGCUUCGGCUCUCGCCUUUAGAUUGGCCCAAGUGGGAUUAGCUAGUUGGUGAGGUAAUGGCUCACCAAGGCGACGAUCCCUAGCUGGUUUGAGAGGAUGAUCAGCCACACUGGGACUGAGACACGGCCCAGACUCCUACGGGAGGCAGCAGUGGGGAAUAUUGCACAAUGGGCGCAAGCCUGAUGCAGCCAUGCCGCGUGUGUGAAGAAGGCCUUCGGGUUGUAAAGCACUUUCAGUCAGGAGGAAAGGUUAGUAGUUAAUACCUGCUAGCUGUGACGUUACUGACAGAAGAAGCACCGGCUAACUCCGUGCCAGCAGCCGCGGUAAUACGGAGGGUGCGAGCGUUAAUCGGAAUUACUGGGCGUAAAGCGUACGCAGGCGGUUUGUUAAGCGAGAUGUGAAAGCCCCGGGCUC
rnacentral:rRNA from 1 species